GACGCUAAAAGCAGGAAGAACAUGCUCGUGAGUCACCCUCUGCUGAGCCACUCAAACCUACCAAGCAAACGUUUUGACAUUAGUUUGCUGAGCCAACUUCCUGUCAGCUGUUGUUAUUGUGCUGCUGCACCAGCCCACGAUGAACAUGUCAGAUCAGACCUCAGCCAUGAAAGGUCGGCAUUUUUCUCCCGGAACAUCUUUCGUCUCUCACAAUGGGCCUCAUUGUCUACAGAGGAGACGUUUGCUUGAUGAUGCGUUCACUGACAAGUGGCACAG